rnacentral:lncRNA from 1 species
UCAGAAAGCUCUGAAACUCAAGUCUUAGAGGACUGUGAUUAACUCUAUUAUUUGGACCAAACUUAAUUUAUUUUCAUCAGGGAAUCUACAUCAGAAAAAUGGUACACCAUAUACACAUUCAUGAUUUUCUUUCCCCCAUUCUACCAAUCUCUGCUAAUCCUGAAUGGCCAGACUCAUCUUUAGUUUGGUACCACACCUACGCAUCACCCUUCUUUGAUCCCCAUGCAUUCUUUUAUACAUGUGUAAAAACAAUAGAAAGAUUAGGGUAGACAUUAUUCGCUUCACUACUUAUGUAUGACUGAAACAUUUAGGUGGUUAGACACGGUCAUGUGUGUCUAAAAUUUGUAAAUAAAGAAAAUGGUUGUUAAAACAGUAUUAUUGCAUUUCUCCUUGCUGUUUGGUACCUCUGAAUUGAUUCCACCCGAAUCUUUUAGUAUAUAAAUAAAUAAAUAAGAAUUUACUCUGUUAUUUUAUUGUUUUGGGAAUUAGAAUCAGUACCAUGAUGAUUAUUAUCUGUAUAUCUUUUUGUACCUAGGAGAAAGCAUUAUUUGACUUUGGGUUGGGGUUUGAGAUUAAUGAGGUUUGAUGAUUUGAGACUUGAGUAGUUUAAAGAAUCAUGGUUAUCAAUAUAAUAUGUCUCUCCAGUGAUUUUGCAUGAUGUUUUUCAUCCAUAUGCUACUACUGAUAAGACCUAAACACGAGCCUCACAAUAAACACUAACUCAGCCUCCCAAACACAAAGCCAGUUGCACCU